GAAGCUGCCAGCAUGAUCUAU
rnacentral:siRNA from 1 species